GGUUGCUAGUUUCUCACUCCCUUUAAAGAGAAAAUAGUGGAGUUGGCUGUUGAAGAGCAGGACCACUCAUGGAGAUUGGGAGUCACCAAUGAGCAGUCAAUCUGGUAAAAUUCAUUGUGCUGUACUGCUCUCAGAUUACCACUAGAAGUAGCUCAUUCUUCUUUUGCACAAGGUUUUAACCAUUUUCUUCAACUAAUCCCCUCUCCUCUCUCAAGCAAGUACUAGUGGCACCCAUUAGCACCAGAGUCCCUCAGCUCAACCUCUGAGGAGGAAACCAGUGAAGUCUCAGAGGACACACUGACGAAUGUGUUCACCUGCACCCUCCAGCAGCUCAGCAGCUUUAACCUCGUUUGGUGCACUGAGUUGAUUCAGCACAUCACCGACACAUCUUUACAGCUGACGAUAAGCAAUAUAUAGUUCAGCAAUGUUGGAGUGGGACACCUUUAAUCAGUGCCUGUUCUGUCUUUUAGAAGGUUGAAGAAGAAUACAGCAAGGCCUAUCCGUAUAGGGUCUCCUCCUUGGUAAGGUACUCACUUGCUGCCUCUCCCUCUGGAGGCAGUGCAGGAGCUGCUGGAUGUUUCUGGAGAUGUCAUAAUCACUGCCUCCUUCUGUGUUGCCUUCGGUGAAUCAUCAAGGCUACAAUUACUCCAGAGGCAGCAUUUUCCAUGAGACCUUUGUAAGCAGGUCAUCUUGGGGAAAAUCAGAAAAACAAGGCAAUUUAAUUGAAGAACUAUUGAGCCUUCACAUCCAUCAUAAAGAAGCUUCAUGUUAUGCUGUCAUAUAAUGUGGCAUGGAGACUUCCAAGGAUGAUAACUGUAGUGCCUUAAUAACUGGAUUCUCUUUAAGUUUUUAUCUUCUGCACAGACCUCCAUGGUCCAGGCACAAACUUCUGGAAUUGGAAGUCAAUGUUGGGAGUGGUGUUGAUAUGCCUAGGAGUGACUGUGUGGCUGCACAGCUUAGAGGGAACAUCACUCCACUAGGAUCUCUGAGCCAAAAUCCUGUCAGAGAGAAGAGUAGGGCUUCUUCAUGGUGUGCAUUCUUGGAAGAGAAGUAGUAGUGAACUAAAUACCAAUACAAAAACAAAACACUGCGAACGCUGGAGAUCUGAAAUAGAAGUAGAAUAUUUUGGAAAUACUCUGCAGGAUCAAUGCCAGAGAUUCAUAGGAUCCCUACAAGUGUGAAAGCAGGCUAUUUGGCCCAUCGACUCCAUACCACUUCUCUGAAGAGCAUCCCACCCAAAUCUAUUCCUGUAACCCUGCAUUUCCCAUGGCGAAUUCAACUAGCCUACACAUUCCUGGACACUACGGGCAAUUCAGCAUGGUCAAUCCACCAAACCUGCACAUCUUUGGACUGCGGGAGGAAACUGGAUCACCCGGAAGAAAACCACACAGACAAGGGGAGCAUGUGCAAACUCUACACAGACAGUUGCCCGAGUCUGGUUUUGAGCCCAGAUGCCUGGCGCUGUGAGGCAGCAGUGCUAACCACUGAGCCACCGUGAAGGUGACCACUUAACUGGACCUACUUUGUCAAAUGAAGUUCCAGUCUCAUGGCAAGAGGACAGUGGUACUGUCAAUAACUCCUAAGGUUACUGUCAUUGCAGUCAUUCUGAAGUUCUCGAGAACCCCUGGAUUCUGGACUCUGACUGGCAGCAAGAUCAUGAAAGGCUUAUUGACCUCAUAGUUAAGACUUGUGAAUGCACUGUAAAGAGCUUACCAUUUUAUUUUUAUGUAUUUUUGAUUGCGGUCUGAAAUGGAAAAGGCUUAUUUUAAAAAAUAAGGAAUGUCCUAGAAUUUCUGCAUUUUUUAAAAAAAUAAAGUUACCUAACACUCAUCGUGAGUAUUGCUUAUACAGCUAGUGCUUCAACCAGUGGGGGAAAUCUAGUUACAG